AGGUCUUUGAAGGUCUGUGGAGGUCUGAGGGGGUCUUUGAAGGUCUUUGGAGGUCUGUGGAGGUCUGUGGGGGUCUUUGAAGGUCUGUGGAGGUCUGUUGGGGUCUUUGAAGGUCUGUGGAGGUCUGUGGAGGUCUGUGGGGGUCUUUGAGGGUCUGUGGAGGUCUGUGGGGGUCUUUGAAGGUCUGUG